UGAAGCUGGAAUUGCUAGUAAUGGCAGGUCAGCAUACUGCCGUGAAUAUUCCCGGGCCUUGUACACACCGCCCGUCACACCAUGAGAGUUGGGAAUACCCGAAGCCUGUGAGCUAACAUAUAGAGGCAGCAGUCGAAGGUAGAAUCAAUGAUUGGGGUGAAGUCGUAACAAGGUAGC
rnacentral:rRNA from 1 species